GUCGGCGAGCGUACAAACCGUAUUCUCGAUAUACUCAAACACACGUAAAAGGUAAGCAUUGUUUAUUAAAUUAUGAAAUCAGGUCUGUUGAUGUCCCUGAUGUACUUUUUAAUGUAAGACGUGCGUGCAUGCACAAAUAUAUUUUUAUAUUUUAUAAAUAAUGACAACUCUCCCAAUUUGAAACAAAUGUUUAUAUAAAUCUGUUACUUCCAAUGCCGAAAAGAUAAUUUCUCAAAGAAAAUUCAAAGUUAUGAGCUUUCGGCUGAUGUCAGAUAGGCUCCGUACGUCGACCUUUGUAUUUAGUACAUUAAAUUAAUAAUUACUUAUUUGUUAUAGCAGUU